GAAGUCACCUACCUUGGUCAUGUUAUCUCCAAGGAUGGCAUUGCCGUCAACCCAGAGCGCGUUCAGGCUAUUCUUGACUGGACCCCUCCAAAGACUGUCAAGCAAGUCAGAAGCUUUCUCGGACUGGCCAGCUAUUGUCGCCGCUUUGUCGAGAACUUCUCCAAGAUCGCCAAGCCACUGACUAAUCUGCUUCACAAAGGCGUUAAGUUCGAUUGGACAGACAAAUGUCAGGAAAGUUUCCAGGCACUCAAGGAUAAACUGACUUCUGCCCCAGUGCUUGCUCCCCCUGAUUCUCGCAAGGACUUUGUCAUCUAUUGUGACGCUUCACGUCAAGGAUUAGGCUGUGUUCUAAUGCAAGAGUGCAGGGUGAUUGCCUAUGCCUCCCGUCAAGUGCGUCCUCACGAAGAAAACUACCCGGUUCAUGACCUUGAGCUUGCAGCGGUUAUCUUUGCAUUGAAGCUAUGGCGACAAUACCUUCUCGGUAAUCGUUGUGAGAUCUUCACUGAUCAUCAGAGUCUGAAGUACCUGUUUACUCAGCCAGAUCUGAACCUCCGUCAGCAGCGAUGGAUGGAA
rnacentral:rRNA from 1 species